UACGUAGGUGGCAAGCGUUGUCCGGAUUUACUGGGCGUAAAGAGCGCGCAGGCGGUCGGAUAAGUCGAAUGUGAAAGCCCCCGGCUCAACUGGGGAGGGUCAUUCGAUACUGUUCGACUCGAAGGCAGGAGAGGGAAGUGGAAUUCCCGGUGUAGUGGUGAAAUGCGUAGAUAUCGGGAGGAACACCAGUGGCGAAGGCGGCUCACUGGACUGGUAUUGACGCUGAGGUGCGAAAGCGUGGGGAGCAAACAGG
rnacentral:rRNA from 1 species